rnacentral:rRNA from 1 species
UACGUAGGUGGCAAGCGUUGUCCGGAUUUAUUGGGCGUAAAGAGCUCGUAGGUGGCUCGGUAAGUCGGGUGUGAAAUUUCGAGGCUCAACCUCGAGACGCCACCUGAUACUGCUGUGGCUAGAGUCCGGUAGGGGAGCGUGGAAUUCCUGGUGUAGCGGUGAAAUGCGCAGAUAUCAGGAGGAACACCAGCGGCGAAGGCGGCGCUCUGGGCCGGUACUGACACUGAGGAGCGAAAGCGUGGGGAGCAAACAGG